UCUCAUACCACUCAUUACCACCGUCAAUGAUGGCAUCACCAGGCUCCAAGUGGUCGGACAACGCAGCAAUGGUCUGAUCGACGGGCAAGCCAGCCUUAACGAGGAUGAUAACCGAUCUAGGGCGUUGAAUAGAGAGAACAAAGUCACGAGGAUUGUACUGACCAAAAAGAGGGAGAUUACCUUCGUUGUGAGCACGAUCUACAGUCUCGUCAACCUUGGAAGUGGUGCGAUUGUAGACGGAAAUGGGGAAGCCUUUCUCGGCGAUGUUGAGUGCG
rnacentral:misc_RNA from 1 species